UCCAUUUUUCAACUUGAACUAUAGUUUCCUGUAAAAAAAAAAAAGAUAAAUAAAUUUAAGAAAACAUAAAAGUAAAAAAAAAAAAGAUGAUUAUGUGCAAUAAAAAAAUCCUGUGUAUUUACUGAAGUCAUGCAUCUCAAAUCGCCUGAUUAAAAUUAGAUGAUUAAUAGGCAUUUGGCCCUCUUUUGUACCCUCUUUUGAAAAAAUAUUUAUGCAUCACUCAUAAGGUAGAACUCACUUUGCCAGUAACUUUGUAUUUAUAAAAUUUCAAAAGCUUGAUAUUAUAAUUCCAUAGACGUAAUCUAAUAUUUUUUACUUUGCUUAUACCGAUCAUCAUAACAAAAGGAUAAAGUUAAACUAAUAAAUUAAAUAAAUUUUUAGAAAAACCAAAAAAUAAAAUGACUAAAACCAUCUUCAUAUACAUCAAAACGACAUCAUUCAAAUAAAAUUGGCAUCAUUCAAAGAAAAAACUAGAAUCCAGCAACAAUCAUUGAACAAAAAUAAUUAAAAUAUACAUCAAAACGACAUAGAUAAAAGCAUGAAGAAACAUAAAUAGCACAGGCACCCAUUCGUGUUUUAUGUGAGAAAUAUAAAUAAAUAAUCCAAUGUGAUCUAAGAUUUAGAUUAUUCACUCAACAUAAAAAUGAAAUUGAUGGCAUAUCCACUACAUUAAAUUGUAGGACUCCAAUCAAAGCAUGGUGGCAAAGCCACAAUACUAGAAGAAAAAAGGAGAAAAAACAUAAAAGGCGAAAGAUAAAACAAAGAGAUUCAUCGUAUUACCUUCAUUGUAGAAGCUAGAUAAAGCUCUAGUUCGAUGAAUAAGCUAGCUUGAAAAGGGGUGUUUAUCGUUACACACCUAUUGAAUUACAAACAGUGGAAAAAGCAUGAACAAGCAAAGUCGAGAGAGAGAGAGAGAGAGAGAGAGAGAGAGAGAGAGAGUUGUGUGUGUUACAGAAGCUAACGCAUCUUGGAUCCGAAAGAGAUAUAUAUGUGAUGAGUAGUAAGAAAGAAACAAAUGUAAUGUCUAAAACCGAAAUACUUAGGUUUUCUUUUUUUUGCGUUAACCCUUCGAUUACAUGAGAAAGGGGCUCCGAUAAUCUAGAAUUCGGCCAUGAGGUAAGGAUAACAUGACCAAGAAUUGUUUCAGCUACGAAUUGAACUUGGGAACAAUUCGUCCUUGAUGAAGUUCAUUGCUUGGUUAACGAAAUACUUAGUUUUGGUGUAGAAUGUUUCCAUCCGAUAACUUUCAUUUAUAAUGUUAUUAUUUAUAAUGAAAAACUUAAUUUUGGUGUAGAAUGUUGCUUGGUGAACGAAAUACUAAUAUAUUUAUAAUGUUAAACUUUUUAUAAUAUUAUUUAAAUCUUCUAAUUAAAAAUUAGUUGAAUGUCAUUGUAAUAAAAACAAUAUCGCUACAAAAUCCGCCAACAAAGAAGACGACUAUGGAAUUUCUCCUUGUUAAAGCAAAAAACAAAAUAAAUUUAAACCUACCUAAAAAAAACGUACAAAACAGUAGCAAUCUAAACAAAAAAUAAAAGAAACAAAAACAUCUAGCAUUCCGAAUCCGAGAUUGAUCUGGAGAUAAAAACCGAACAUAAAUGCCAUGGAGCAGACCACGAUCCAGAUCCGGAGAGUGGAGAGGCUGACGGCCUUGACGCUGAUGAGUAGCUUGAGUGCCCAGGGGAUGUAAGUGGAGACCAAAAAGCAGUGCAUGGAGUAGCGUUAAGUAAGAGGAUCAUUGAUGGUGAAGGGGUUGAUUCGCGCGAUACGACCGUGGAAUAAAGCCUCAAUGUGACUGCUUUUGAUGGUUGAGUCCAUUUCUUGAGUGGGAAUGUGGAAGAAGGUGAGCAUGAGUUUAGGGUAGCAUGAAAUAACGUAGAGAGAAGAAAUAUAAAAGAGAAACAUAACAAAAACAGUGAUGACGUGUGGAACCACACCAAGAUGAUGAGCGAGUUUGAGAUCAAAAGCAGCACUGGACACAAAUACUAUGAAGGAGAUGACGGUCCAGAAUCGGAGUGUGAAGAGGCUCAUGUCUUUGAUGAUCUUGACUUUCAAGGGGAUGAUGAGAAAAAGAAAUAAGAUGAAAGGGUAAACUUUCAAAUAUACAAGGAAAGUUUUGUUGUUGUAGUUGUUGAUGUUGAUGUUGAUGUUGAAGGCAUAGGUGAAUGAGAUACAGUCUAAGGCGAUGGAUAAAGCAAUGAGAGAGAAAAAAUAGUUCACUGAAAUCAUAGCUUCAAGGUACAUGCUUCUUGUUGCCAUAACCAUUGCUUGAGUUUUUGAGGAAGAAGAUGAUGGGUCAAGAGAAUAUAUCAUAGUACUGUGUUUUCACAUGAUUACAUGAAUACCGUUCGAUCUAAUUAAAAGAAGAGGAUCGAUGACAUGGACAAGUAUUCAAUGGCUUAGAUUGUAUGUUUGUAUUUUUGUGUUUUCCUUUCCAUAUUUGAAUUUAAAUUCCAUUUAUUUAUAUCUUUAAUAAUGUCUAUUUUUAAAAACUAAAAAAAAUUGCUACCUAAACAAGUUGUCGAGGGAUAGCACUUGUGUGACAUAGAGUUGGGUGACAUUGGUGACAUUGACCAAUCACAAUGUUGCAAUGCUUGUGAAAGAGAGAGAAACACAAACAUUGUGACAUUGUGAUUGGCUAAUGUUACCAAUAUCAUCCAAUUUAUAUCACACAAGUGUUAUCCGUUGUGAAGAUCUUUGAAACUAAAAAAUUUAAAUUACGCUGCAACUCAAAACUAGAAAUUCCAAUUUCAAGUUAAUUCCAAUCAAUUUUAUAAACAAAAUCAAUUUUAGCUCAGUUGUGAUGAUAGAAGAUGAGGUGUUGUUGUUAGGGGUUUCAACGAGUGUGAUGGUUUUUUUUUGGAAUGGUUUUAGCUUAACUUUUGGUGUAUGUUGCUUUUUGGUGUUAAUUUGGUUUUGGAGGAUUGUUUUUAAUUGGUGUUUAAGAUGUCAUGUGUAUGUAUUUUCAUUUGGAUGUUACGCCUAUAUACGAUGCUUUUGUAACUUCUGUCUGACCGGUCGUUGUUCGUCAUAUAUAGUGACUUAAUUAUUAAUAAAUUUUGUUGUUAAAAAAAAAAAAUCAAUUUAACUCGAGCUACCAUUAAAACCAAUUUUACACCUCCAAAAAUAAUAAUGGUUGCUCCAAACAUUCACCAUGCUGAUGAAUAAUAUCUCAAAGGAUUAAUCUUUAGCUUCCAGUCAGAGGAUACCUGGAGCAACCAAAACAAAUUUUAAAAGUAAAGGGAUGCUGAUCUAAACUAAAGCAAAACAAGAUAUCCUAAUCAAUAUAAAAUUAUUUCUAUAUUGAGGAAAUUAGAAAACCAUAAAUUAAGUUUAUUUCACGAGUUUAUCAUAAAAAAAAAUUAAAAAAAAAAACUCAAAUCAAAAUUAAAUUUCAAUUUCAACCUUUUAUUUAUAAAAUAACAUUUUUAUGAUUUAUUUAGCAUUUCUAUUCCCAUUGAUGGAGUGUUUCUCCUUUGAUCAUGUUGACGCAAACACUUGGUCUCUUUGAUCGCUUGUAUCACUGGUUUAGGGAUAGCGAUGACUUUCCAUGAACACAGACAUUAUAAUAUUUGUUCUUGUCUUGUUAGAUAAAUAUGAUAUACGUGUAUGCUUCAUAUUUGCACGAGUAUAUAUCCUUUAAACGGGUAAUCUGCAUAUUUUGAGAUACAUGCAAAUAAUUGUAUAUAUUCAUACAUAACAACUUUUGUUAAAAGAAAAAUGAAUUUCUAUGAUUUUUAUUUCUAAUAAUAAACUAUUACCUAGAAUUUCUUCAAAUUCUUUUAAAGCCACAGAAAAUAUUAACACAUAAAAAUUAUAUACAUUUCACUCUAAAUUUAACAACAAAAUUUCUAAUCAAAACAAAAUAUAUUCAAUCGGUCAAUUGGUGAGGACCGUGGGUGGAGGAUUUACAUGGAAGGAGGAUAUACAAUGUGAAAUGAAGAUGGAAUGAAAAAAUAGAAUGAAGAAAUACCCCAAUUAGUUGUAACUCAGAAUCAUUGCAACUCAUUUUGAAUUUAAUGAAUUGAGCUUCUUUUCACUCAUUACAACUGCUUCUAAUUACAUGAUAGGUGCAACAAAUAACAACGACUUCAACAAAAAAGAACUCUCACUUCCAGUUCUUUAAGCAACUCUAAAAAGCCAUUUCUGCUUGGUACGACAUCAUUUUCCACGACUGUGUAAAAUCUAAAUACGUAGGUAACUUCUGCUAUGUCAUCGAAUACAACUUCUGCUUAAUGUAAUUUGAAAAAAUAAAAUAAAUGCUUAAAUAAUGGAGUUCAAUGUCAAGCAUUCAUGAGAUACUUUCAAAUUUUAGCAAUCACACCAUCCCUUGUAUAGUAGGGUUCCUGUCUAUUAAGACUUCGAGUCCCUAUCCCUAUGCUAUCUUGAUCAAAACCAUUGUUCCAACAAUAUUCAACUAUUCAUACUCCAUUCAUGCAAGUAAAAAAACAACAUAACCUGUAUAGUUUAUUUAGCAUUAACGGAAAUAUAAUGCCCAUUCCAACUUUGUACUUUAAGGACUUCAAUUGGAAUGGAAACCCUUCCUCUGGUUGGACACAACAUACUUGGUAGCUCUCUCUCUUCAACCUUGUUCUUUGUGUGAGCUUGGUGAAAGAAAUAAACAUCUACAUUGUUGCUGCAGAAGACAAAGAAACUUACUGUUCAAAUCAAUGUAGCCUAUGAUAAUUUAAAAGAAAUAUGGCAUUUUUCAGACAACCAUUUACAUUCAAAAGGGACCACAUAGCAAUUUUCGGAAGCACAUGAACUAUAUUGGGCGGCACUAGCAGCUCAUAGUAAAAUUCCUAGCUUUAAGACAUAAAUAUAUCCAAUUGCUAAUAGAUUUGUUUCACUUCUAGACCAUACGUUAUGUUACUUCACCUUAAAGGUAUAUAUAUCCCUUUUAUUUGAAGACACUUGUUGAGCAAGCAUGAGCUCCAUAUACUACUAUAGAACUUAUCAUAUAACCAACCUCAAAGAAAGUAUAUCAUCAUCAUCAUCAUCAUGUCCAUACUCUUUCAGUAAAGAGUCAAUCAAACAAACAACAAGCUUGGUCAAUAAAGAUUAUACACCACUCCUCCAAACAUGUAGAAAAAAAUUUGAUCUAAAACAGCAAUUAAAUCUGAAAAAAAAAUGAAAAUAAAACUCAUAAUUUGGUCCAUGAAAAGAAUACAUACUGAUUUAGUGCCAUAGUAGGGCACAUACAAAAGAUAAAUACAGCAAUUCAAAUAACUUGGUUGAGGUCAACUAAAUAUUUUCAAAUCAUAUAUGCCUUAAAUCAAAUGAAACAUAGCAAUUAUUGUUUUCUUUAUGUUUCCUUAUUUAUCCAACUAAAAGUGCUUAUAACAUCUUACAUGCAACAUCUGAAAAAUGAUAUUGAAAACAGAAGCUUCUUUCUGCCUUAAAGGUCAGAUACUUAGAUAAAUCUCUCCUUUACAGGGUAAAAAAAUAGGCUUAAUUGCAUGUUUGGUCGCUUUUGUUUAUUUUAAGUUUUGAGUUGGUCCCUUAUGUUUUAAAAGUUUUAAGUUUGUCCAAAAUGUUAAUCAUAUUGGAAUAAGUUAGUCCCUUCCAUCACUUGGCCGUUUAGAGAUUUGGGCUGAGAAUAUGAGUGUUGGAAUUUUUUAUUUUUGGAAUAAAAGAGGGCUGAAGCCGAAAAACGAGUGUUGGAAUUUAACUUACUUACAAAAUUAGUUUUAAAACAUUUUUUAAUUUUUUUUGUUUUAUUAAACUCAAUAUUAUGUGGCGGAAGGGACUAACUUAUUCCAAAAUGAGUAACGUUUUGGACCAACUUGAAACUCUCAAAACAAAAGACACCAACUUAAAACUUUUAAAACAUAAGGGACCUACUUGAAACCUAAAAUAAACGUAAGGGGCUAAACAUGCAACUAAGCCAAAAAAAUAUACAUGUGCAUAAACAAAAUAGGACGUAAAACAUUGGUUUAAUAAAGGUCACAUAUUAGAAAGAGGUUGAAGGUUUAAAUAACCGUUAACUUGCACCUGUAAAAUACUCUACAAGCUUAUACAAGUCCAGUUUGUGCAUGAGAAAAUAUGCGAAAGUGGUUAUAUAAAAGAGUUCCUUAAAGUUAAAUAGUCUUGAAAAUAAGUUCUUGAAGUGAUUUUUGUUCAGUGAAUGAUGUAGUCCUAUAAAAUACAGGACAUGGACAGCAUACUACAUACCCAUGGCAGUUAAUCAAAAUAAUACCUAUGAACUAUGAUAUUUAAACCUGAGUCUAACACUGUGACAAGGGACGGAGAUCUGAGGACAAAGACGAUUGAACCAGUUAUGACCAUAAGAGCUCACAGAGGAGACAACGGAGGCUUAACGCAGUGACAAGGGACAGAUAUGCAAAGCCAUAGAGGUUGUGUUGAGGGUGAAUGUAGCAAUCAAAUUCAAACAAAAAAAAUAACUUAUGGCUCAGAACUUGGUUAACCGUAGCCGGUAAAGAAAUAAAAUAAAAGGUUGGUGUGGCUUCAAAUGAGAGGUUGUGUUAUAAAGAGUGUUUUGAGGGUGUGACCCUAGCAUUCCUCAUCCCUUUUAUUUGCAUACACUUAUCAAGCAAGUAGGAGCUCCAUGAUACUACUAUAGAACUUAUCAUUCAACCUCAAGGAAAGUAUAUCAUCAUCAUGUCCCCAUACUCCUUCAGCAAAGAGUAUAUGAUAUUUAAACCUGAGUAUACCGUAUCUAUAUCAAAAUAAUACCUAUGAACUAAUGAUAUUUAAACCUGAGUCUACCAUAUCCAUAUCAGUAGGCCCAAAGGUAAAAAUAACAAGAAGCAAAAAGUCAAGUGCUAUGUAAGGAAAGACUAUGGCUUCAAUGUAGUGUUUUGAAUAAUUGCAGUUGACAUCAUUAUUAAAAUUCCAACCAUUAUAAUAUUAAUAUUGAGUUUUGGGAGCCUUCACAAUUGUACCGCAAACAUUAGUACAGGUGCAUUUGUCCACAAUUAUCUGCAGUUUUGGUAUUUGCAAAGCAACUACAUGCAAUGCAACUAGAACCUAAAAUAAGUUUGAAUUCAGUAACCUAAUCCGGUAUAGCUUAACUUAUACCGUAGAUUUUUCGGACCAAGUAACAAGGAAGGAGAAAUGACUACAUCGCAAAAUAGAAGAAUUAUGUUCCCAUAAAUUAAAGAAAAUUUCAACUUUUGAAUAUUGGUAUUAGAUUCAGACUAAGAUGCAUAACGAUUUUGAAAAAAUAUCAAUGAAAACAUAACCAACAACGAAACAAGUUAGCUAAACCAGCUACAAUCACAGUCUGUAACAAAAAGUAUUAAAAUCGAAUACCGAACAAGAUAACAAAUUAUGGCUAAAAUACCUGAAAAUCUAAUCAUGAUGUGCAUGUUUUGUCCAUGGUGUAAGCAAGAUUGAGUUUUUCCUCAUACAACUUUAAUAGAUAAGAAGACUCCUUAAUACCCUUUAUACACGUAUCAAGAAACAGCUUCUCAGACACUACAAAUGGACAAGUUAAGCUUGCAUUCUUUUUUCGCAAACCUUUCUUCAGAAGAUAUUGCAAUACAGAGGCCCUUGGAAGGACCCUCUUUUCAAAACUUAAAGAAAAAACUGAUGGUCCUUUGGCAAGGGCAAGUGCAUCCCAACCCAACUGAUUGACCCAAAAGUUCAUCACUAGAUUAAUUUUAUCAAUGGAUGUUAACAUACAAUGAGGUUGCCUUCUAAAUGCUUGUAGAACAUCUUCAGCAGACCAACCCCACUUCUUAAAGGCAUCGACUUUCUCUUCCCACAAUGUUUUCUUUACAGAUAGUUUGGCUAGCAACGCUACACCAAAGGUUGAUUUUGAAGGAGUAAAACCCAAAUCCUUUAAUUCCUCCACCAAUUUCAGCAUGUCACGUGUCGGUGUCUGAAAUGCCCUACUCCUUACGCAAAGCAUUCUUUUAAUGUUUAAGUCGGCCACUCCAUUGGCAAUCAGCAAUCUAAUGUUAGAUACCACACGAGCGUCUCCAAAGAAAGAUGGAUUGCGAAUAACACAAUCAAUAAUGACCUUGUCUGAUUGCAAGAAUCUAUAAAUCAAUUGAUAGGCUUGGAUAAUUUUAUUAUCAAGGCUUGCUUUCAGGAUGUUGGGGUUCUUAGUGAUAAUGUUAACAAUGUCAGAUGUAGAAGCACCUUUGGAGAGAAAAAAUUGAAACUUUGGCAAAACCCUUUUAGAAGGGUUGCAGGAAAGCAGCCAUGGUUCCUUUGAAAUGGUAUGACGUAGUUGGGAAUCUGAGAAACCAUAGUUUCUAAAGAAGGUGAGAACAGAGUCAGGUUUUUGGGCAUUCUUGAAAGUAACAUUGUAAGUGGAGGAAAGUUUGGAAGCAGAUUGUGGGUCAAAGCCAAAAUUGUUGAUGAGGUAGGAGACAGCAAAAGAGGUUGAAUCUGAAGUGUUGGUGCAAAAAUGGAGAGGAAAGGGUAAUGGGCAAUGGUGGAAAAGAGGGUUAGGGUUUAGAAGGGUUGUUCUGUGUCGCCAUAGUAUAUUCUUAAACAUGAUGAUGAUAAAUAUUACUACUAGAUUAUUAUAGAUAGAUAGAUUGUCAAUUGAGUUUAACGAAAGCUUCUAAUAAAAAAUAAAAAACAUGAAUGAAAAUAUAACCUGUGUUGGGUAGGGAACAUAAUAAUGGUCCCAAAAUUAUGUUUCCACUUCCUGCUUUCGCAACAGGAUGACGAGAGAAAGACGAAGGAGGGACUACUUGUAUUUUCGUUGGUAAUUCUAUGUCCGUGCAACUGCCGAGAUUAAUCCUUCAAUUAUUGUAGGACUCAAAUGGACGGCAAAGUCGUUUUAACGUUGCUGCAUGCCCAAAAUUGAAUUCGAACUCAGAAUCUUGGGUAACCUAAAAGAUAUCUCAUUUGGGCGCUCUUGUGUAUGAGUUGUAGUUUUAGAAAAUACACUCUUUUUUUACAUAAAAAGACUUGUAAUAUUUUGAUAAUGAUAAUGUUUCGAAUACAUGUUGAAAUUUCAUCAAAGAUAUGAGAAUUAACUAAAGAUGUGACCAUACAUUCUAAAGUAUGAACAACCUCAUUAGAUCACCCCUAAUGAUGAGAUUUUCCUCGAUAAUAAUAUCAAUAUGUAUAUAUGAGGUACUGUCAUCGAGAAAGAAAAAUGAUUACUUAUAUUAUAGAGAAGAGAUGUUUUACGUUUUACGAAGUCAUCUCAUUUCGUAGAACCUACACUUUUUAAUAUUAAAAAUGUAAUGAUACAGAGUUAACUACUACGGGUGGUCGCUAACCAUCACCAACUACUACUCUAACCAUCACCAGCACCACCUACCACUACUCUAACCAUCACCACCACCUAAAAAUACCACCAUUGAACCCCACUCCAACAAUCUGUGAUAACCACCAUGGUCACCCUCUGACCACCACUCCCACCAAUGCGCCCACUUGUCUGUCAACCACCACAACAUUAUCCCAUGAAGAUCAUCAUAGUGACUAUCAAAUAGAAAUGAGAUUCCACUUUUGGACAAGUUCGAAGUACAUGGUGGCAAAGACACUAAGGCUAUGUUUGGUAAAGAAAACAUUGAAUAUCUGAUAAGUUAGUGUAUAGCGAAUGAACUAGUUUAUUAAAUUUGCAGUGUUUAGUAAAACGAACGGUUGAACAAACUUAUAAAUAUGAAAUGACAUAAAAUUAUAUAUUUAGUUAAUGUUUAUUUUUUUUCAAUUAAGAUUGCAGAGGUUAAAUUGAAAUAAAUAAUGAUAAGCUAUAAACUUUAAAAUAUAGCUUAUUCAGAAACCGCUACAAGCUAGUAAAAAUAUGGUAGACUCGUGAGAAAAUGGCAGUUACCAAACGGAUCUUUUUUAGUCAAAUAAGGUUAUAAGACAAGCUAUAAGCUCAAAAUUAUGUCUUUACCAAACAUUUCAAAGAAAUGAACUAAUUAGAAAAGGGGGAGUAGUAAAUAGAGAAAUAAAAUUAGAGGAUUUUGGCUGAUAUUUGAGAACAGAAAUUAAAAUUGAAUUAUAUUGUGAUUCAAUGGUAAGAAGCGUCAAUACAUGAAAAUUAACACACAAAUGCAAUAACCAUCUUAUACCAUUAGGCAGAGUGGUCUAACUCUAAAGCUUAAACAAUCGAGUUCAAUGUUAAGCAUGCACAUAAAUGAUACAUCCAAAUUUUGGCAAUGGCAAUAUCCCUCAUACAGUUGGGUGUCUGCCUAUGAGAAAUUCAGAAUCUGAAAGAAUCAUAAUUUGUGAACAAACAGCACUUCCGAGUCCCACUUCCUAUGUUAUCUUGAUCAAAACCAUCCUUUCAGAAUAAAAUAUUGAUGCUCCAUGUACGUGAAAACAAACAUGACAUUUAUAGUUUAAGUUAGCAUUAACAUAAAUAAAAAGUUUUGUUCCAACUAUGUACUUUUCAGUUUCAGGGGUUGGUAAGUUUGAAAUUAGAACCCUCUUCAUUAUGCUGGCUUGGACUUAGUUGGUAUUGGAACAUAUCACAUGGCUGGACACAACAUACUUGGUAGCACUCUCUCUCCGACCAAGUUCUUUUUGUGAGCUUGGUGAAAGAAAUAAACAUCUACAUUGUUGCUGACUUCUUGCUGCAUAAGACAAAGGAACGUGCGAUUGAAAUCUAUGUAGCCUCUGAUGCAUAGUUUUGAAAAAUUUGGCACUUCUCAGACACAAUUAUUUCAAAUCAAUAAGGAAAACAUAGGAAUUUUCGGAAGUACAUGGGCAGCACUAGCAGCUUGCAGUAAAAACAUGAAUACAUCCAUCAUUUUAAACUCGGUUUCGCGUGGUAAAAUGAACUCGAACACUAAUUUGAAAUCGAACGGUUCAUAUUUGUAACAACGUCCUGUUAUAAGUGCAGAAAAUCCAAUUCCAGCAUAUUAAUUUUGUGAGUCAAUGUUGAUUCUAGAAAUAUUCUAAAAAUAAAAGAGUUUUCUAAUUUAACCAUAAUAUUUAUAAAAUGAGAAACUAAUUUUUAAAAGUGGGUGCUUGGAUCCACAUUGUGAUAGCUUGGCUUGCGCAUUUAGGUCCUUUUCAUCGCUAAAACAAACGUAUUGUUGGUCUCUUCGGCUUUGCCAAUCAAUAUAAUGAAUAUAAUGUUGGGUGGUAGUUAGUACACUAUAUGGUUCUUUCAUCUAAUUUUCCUUGUAUCACAAAUGGAAACCACAACACAAUAGACUCGACUGCAAAAACUACAAUCGCAACUGUAAAGAAGAAACAAGCACAUCAGAAACAUAAUUAUGCAGAAUCGUACAAACCAGAAUAUUAAGCACAAGACAAUAGCACAGAAAACAGAUCACGUGCAUCCAGAAACAUAGGGUUCAGAAUGCGUUUAUGCAGAAACAGCUCGAAACCAGUAUUUGCAGAAUCACAAACAGAAUACAACAGUACUGAAACACACUGCAACAUAAAUGUGAUUAUGCAGAAAACACAGAAAAGAAAAUUAUGCAGAGAAAAUUACUAGAAGUUAUAGAAUCUACCCUAAAUUUCUCAUCUUCCCUAUAAACAACAAGUUGUAAAGAAAGGAAAAAAAAAACCAAAAUCAUUCAGAAGAGUUACUUAUAAAUAUAAACCACAAGCCUUUCUCAGGAAAUUGUGUGAACCUACAAUGACUUUAAAUUGACAAUUAGAAUAGUAAGACAUAAGAAAAGAUAAACUCCACAAAUUCAAUAACUCAGUAAUUUAAAUCUUAUUUUCCUUAAAUUAGAUGAAACAUAUAUAUUCCUAUUUUCUUUAUCUGUAUCCUUUUCAAUCAAAAGCACUCCACGCAUCUCAUCUGCAACAUCUGAAAAUGAUUUUGAUGCAUAGAACGAACCAAAUUUCUUCAUAUUGCUUAAAUAAGACAAAAUCUUCUUCCAUUAUAGGUGAUUUUCAUGAGAAAAAUAUUUCCUUUCAAUGUGAACAAAAUGUAAUAACAUAAACAAAAUAGGAGUUAAGCUAUUAGUUUACUUCUUAAUAGCACUAAAGGCCAGCAACUUGUAAGAGGUCCAGAGGUUAACUUCUGAUUACAUGCAUCCAGAAAUUACUCAACCAGGUUAUCCAUGUCCAGGUCACAAGACAAUAUUAAAAAGUAGUUAAGGAAAUUAAAGUACCUCACCACAAGAAAUUACAUCAAUAUUGAUGUAUGACAGGUCUUCACAAUUGCACAGCUACCAUAAUUAUCGCCAUACUUGUCUAUGAUUAUUUAGACAUUUAGUAUUUGCAAAGAAAUCACAAUUAAACUACAACUUAAAACCACUUUAAGUCCAAACACAUAUUCUCGUAUAUAGAUGAAAAUAUGCAAUAGAUUAUUGGACUAAACAAACAUGGAAGGAGAAUGACACUACAAAAUGAGUAUAACAUGCCUAUUAAUACAAGUAAAUUCAACUUUUACAUAUAUUAGAGGCAAAUUAUUUGAUGUAAAACUGGUAAACAAUAGGAGUUUGAAGAAAUAUCAAUCAUAGCAAAGCCAACAUUUGUGAAAGUAAGCUAAGCUAAACUUUCCCAAAAUCCCAAUUGAAGUCUUUUCCGAACUAAUUCCAAAUUAAAUAUGGAAUGAACCAAACAUGAAUCACAUAUUAAGGCUAAAAUACUUGAAAAUCUAAUCAUGACAUGCAAGUUUUGUCCCUAGUGUAUGCAAGAUUGAGUUUGUCCUCGUACAGCUUUAACAUAUUAGAAGCCUCAUUCUCAAAAUGUUUUAUAAACCUAUCAAGAAACCUCUUCUCAGUAACAACAAAUGGAUAAGUUAAGCUUGCACUCUUAUUUCUCAAACCUUUACUCAGAAGAUAUUGCACAACAAGGGCCCUCGGAAUGAUUGUUUUUUCCAAACUUAACGACAAAAUUAAUGGUGUUUUGGCAAUGGCCAUAGCAUCCCAACCCAACUGAUUGACCCAAAAGCCCAUCACUAAAUUAACUUUAUCAAUAGAUGUUAACAUAGAAUCAGGCCGCUUUUUAAACGCUUUCAUAAUAUCUUCAUCAGACCAACCCCACUUCUUAAAGGCAUCAACUUUCUCUUUCCACAAAGUUUUGCUUACGGAUGUUUUGGCUCGCAAGGCUACACCAAAGGUUACUUUUGAAGGAUUAAACCCCAAAACCUUUAAUUCCUCCACAAGUUUCAGCAUGUGAUGUGUCUGAAACGUCGGACUCCAGUACCGAAGCAAUUUUGCAAUGUUUGAGUGUGUGACUCCAUUGUCAAUCAAAAAUUGAAUGUUAUGUGGCACAAGACGGUGACUAAGUAAAGCCGGAUUUUGAAUUGAACAAGCAAUAAUGUCGUUAUCAGAUUGCAAGAAUCUGUAAACCAAUUCAUAGGUUGGGACUAUUUGAUUCUCCAGGCUUGAAUACAAAAAAUGGGGGCUCUUACAGACAAUUUUAAUAAUGUCAGAGGUAGAAGCACCUUUGGAGAGACAAAAUUGAAACUUUGGCAACAACGUUUUGCAGGGCUUGCAGGAAAGAAGUCGUGGUUCCUUUAUGAUGAUAUGACAUAGUUGAGUGUCUGAGAAACCAUGGUUUCUAAAGAAGUUGACAACUGAAUCAGGUUUUUGGUUGGUUUUGAAACAAACCUUGUAAGUGGAACAAAGUUUGGAAGCAAAUUGUGGGGAAAAGCCAAAAUUGUUGAUGAGGUAUGAGACUGCAAAAGAGGUUGAAUCUGAAGUAUUGGUGCAAAAAGGAAGAGAAAAUGUUGGUAAUUGGUAUCGAUGGAAAAGAGGGUAAGGUUUUGGGGUUGGUAAGAAAGUUAGGGCCUUGAGAUAGAGAAAAGGUGUAUAACGAUGUGCAGCCAACAUGGUGAAAAUGGAGAAAGAUGAAUGAAGGAAUAAGAAUACCUGAGUUGGGUUCGAAAAUUUCCCGGGAGAAGGGGUGCUUGGAAUGAAAACCUUCUCUGUCGAUAUGCUUUGAGUGGGUGGUGACUGAUGAUGAAUCUCCGUCUCGGAAGAGUUUCUCCGGUAACAAUGAAUUUUGGUUCCAUAAAUAUAUGGCUUAAUAGCUGUGUACCCAUAACUUAUAUUUUUGAAUUUCAUUUUUAUCCCUUAACUUUAAACCGUCUUGCCUCCGUUUACAUAGGUGGUCCAUUCUGCUCCGUUUACCUAGGUGGUCUCUUCUGUUAGGUAAAUGGAGGCAAAGUUAUGGGACCAAAUUGAGAAACAUAAGGGACCACUUACGUAAACGGAUGCAAAAUUUUGGGACCAAAUUGAGACGCUUUAAAGUUAAGGAACCAAAAUGAAAUUCAAAAAUAAGUUAAGGGACCAAAGCAUGUAUUAAGCCUAAAUAUAGUAAGACAAAAAAAAUAGCUGUAUAAAAUUAGUUGUACAAAUAUCACUCUUCUUUUAAUAAUUACUCAUUGGAUAAAAUGUGAAACUCGUAUAUGUUUUAUCUAAUAAAAAUGUGAGCGUAAAAGAAAAUGUUAUAAAGGAGUUAAGAUCUUCCCCAUUUAUAACAUUUUUUUCAUUUUUUUCUGUUUGGAGAGAUAAAGACAUAAUAAAAAAAAUAAAAAUAAAAACUAUAAAAUAUUAGUGAUGAUGAGACUCAUUUGGUGGUACGACCCAUUGUCUAUUUUUUUUUGUAUUUAUCUCUCUCUAAAUGAGAUACUCCAUUAUUUUGUGUAAUGAAUAGGAUCUUAACGUGUUACAAAGUGAGUCUUUAUAUCACUUAUCGUAUAUUAGUAUUAGUCGAUUGCUCAAUAAGUCCUUCGGACUACUGAACUAGUUGAAACUCAAGAUCGACAUUUUCUAUGAGUAAAACCUGAUUUAAAUCGUGGCUUCAUAUGAGUAUUUUUUUUGAAAUUGUGAGUAAUGGUCUUAGUCCAAGGGGCUAAUUUAACCCAAUUUGAUGAGGGAUUAAUUUAUAAAAUAAAUAAAUUAGGAGGACCAAUUUGGGACAAAGUAUUUACAUGUUUUAAAAUUUUUACACUAUCAAAUGAAAUAAAGUAAUUUACAUUACACGAAAUAUUUUUACACUAUCGAAUAAAAUAAAGUAACUUAUAUUACACGAAAUAAGAUUCUCUCCCGUAAUCAAUGAUAACCGUUUGAUUGCAAUUGGAGAAUUUAGAUUAUUUUAACUAAAAAGAUGUAAUUUUCAAUUUUAACUGUUCAAUUUCAUAUAAACGGCUGAAAUCAAAACUAUGUACAAUUGCUACAGCAACAAAACCUAGUCCACAUUGCACAAUAUCAUCAGCUUAACAACUAACAUCCUUUGUGAGAAAAUUUGAAUAUAUUGUUUAAGGAUUAUGUGUGUCUAAAUUGUCAACAAUAGUUCAAGUCUUUUUUUCGUGGUGGAAAUGGUUUGAACCUCAGACCUUAUAUAUAUUAUACAUUGUCUCUAGUAAUUGAGUUAAGUUCACGAAGACAAUAGCUCAAAUCUUUAAUAUAUGGAAUAAAGUCUUAUUUGGUCUCUCACACAAAAUAAAAUAAAAUUUGGAGCUCAGCAGAGUCACUAAUAAAUAAAAUAUACUAGUUUAUUACAAAAAUAAAUAAAUCUUUUAUUAAAUUGUCUCUUAAACAAUAAUAUGGACCAAUUAACUUAUUUAAAAUGUGUUUAUUUUGAAAUCUCAUAUUCGAUUUUCCAUGAUAUCGAUUUUGAUGAGUUAGUUUCUUAAACAAAAUAAAAUAAGAGACAAUUUAGUUCUUAUUGAUUUAAAAAAAAAAAACAUCGUAAAAUUAAAAAAAUAUUUAUCCAAUUUUCCUUUUGGUCAGGUAGUCUAUUGGUUAGAAUUCACCUUAUAAGAUGAAUAAGUGGGGUGUCCGAGAUUAAUGUAUUGUCCUACCAACUGAGCUAAAUUGACAAAGAUUAAUGUAUCUUCCGUGGAAAAAAUAAUAAUAAUGUACCUGUACUGAAUUAAAAAGUGGGGGUAAUAUCUAUCCUUAAAUAGGAAUCUGUAUUGACCGUGAAUCUCAAUGAACAAGAAUUGGCAAUUGACAUGAUAAGGAACUAUAGAAUAUCUAAAAAAUUCAAAAAUUUACAAUUCAUCUCAAAAUUUCAAAUCAAAUAAGUCGUAUCUUAUUCAGACUAAUAAAAAGACCCGCGGUUAUUGUUAAAACUGCUAGUAGAAAACCGAAAUAACUGGUUAUAGUGGGCAUAAGGAAACUAGAUGAAAUAUGUUCUUUUUAUACAUAUGUUUAUAAAACACUUUCCUAAGUUUCCAUUUAGUUUUGAGAUAAAAAUAGGAAAAUAACCAAAAAAUACCACUUGAAAGAUACAAUUGAAAAUAAUUGAUUCAUGAAUCAAUUAUUACGGACAAACAAAAAUAAAAAUCUAAUUACAUAGGUACGAAAUCAAUUCAUCAUCUGUGACAUUCAUGAGUUGAGUAAACUAAUCGAAUGAAAAUAUUUUCAUUUUUUUAUUUUAAUAAUUAAUAAAAAGCUCUAUCCUUUUACUGGACGACUAAUUAAUUCAAUUCUUGAAAAUGAAAUAAAGAAAUAAAUUUAAUUUUAUAGUACUUGAUCUCGCCACUGAUUGUGAAAUUCCGAAUUUUAAACCACAUCGAUUUUUGUUUCUUAAAAAAAAAAUCAAAUUUUGUUGAAAAAACUCUGUUGAAGAUAAUUUGAAUUUUGAAGGGAAUGAAAGCUGUAAAAGAUAAUAAUAAUAAUGUUGGUUGGAGAGAGAAUAGUCCAGGACUAAAAUGUGGGUUUAAUGUUUUUUAUUUGUGCUUAUUUCCUAAUUUAACCUUGCUCAGCCUCCAUCCUCCGCAUAGCGGAGCCCGGAGAGGUGGUGUUUAUCACUUCUGUUACAUCAUCGUCACUCGCACUUCUAUCAAUCCAUGCUGAAUUUAACUUUUUCAUAAAUCCCAACUACUUAACAACUUUUCAAUCACUCUCCUUUGUUCUCUUCUUCUUCUGCUCCAGCAAUUUCACCUACACAGCAACAAACAACAAGGUAAUAAAUUGAAUUUCACUCUCCUUUACGCCUUUUUCAAUUUCUUAAAAUCAUUUUGUAAUUCAUCUUCAAUUGCUUUUCAAAUGUUUACUACUCAUCGCCGUACAACCCUUCUCUAUCUCAAGACCUUAACUUUCUCACCAUCCCCCAAAAACCCAUUACCAUUUUCUCACUAUUUUUCCACCAACACUUCAGAUUCAACCUUUUUUGCCGUCUCUUACCUCAUCAACAAUUUUGGCUUUUCCCCACAAUUUGCUUCCAAACUUUCCUCCACUUACAAUGUUCAUUUCAAAACUGCCCGAAAACCUGAUUCAGUUCUCAACUUCUUUAGAAACCAUGGUUUCUCUGAUUCCCAAAUACGCACUGUCAUUGCAAAGGAACCACGGUUGCUUUCAUGCGAUCCCUUGAAAAGGGUUCUGCCAAAGUUUCAAUUUUUUCUCUCCAAAGGUGCUUCUAACUCUGACAUUGUUAACAUUGUUAGUAAGAACCCUAUGUUCCUUACUGCAAGCUUGGACAAGAAAAUAGUUCCGACUUAUGAAUUGGUUUAUAAAUACUUGCAAUCUGACAAACACAUUCUUGCUUUGUUGAAUUGCAAUCCAACUUUCUUUGGAAGAAGUAGCGUGGAACAUAACAUCAGAUUGUUGAUUCAGAGUGGAGUUACAGACAUAAAUAUUGCAAGAUUGCUUCGGAACAAUAUUAAGUUUUUCAUGACAGGCAACUUGCCUGAGUUGGUGAAGGAAUUAAAGGAUUUGGGGUUUCAUCCGUCACAAUCAAUUUUCUCAGUAGCAUUGAUUGCCAAAACAUAUUUAUCCAAAAGCCGAUGGAAUGAAAAAGUUGAUGUCUUUAAGAAAUGGGGAUGGUCUGAUGAAGAUGUCCGUGAAGCAUUUAAAAAGCAACCUCAAUGUAUGUUAACAUCCAUUGAUAAAAUAAACUCAGUGAUGAACUUUUGGGUCAAUCAGUUAGGUUGGGAUGCUUUGGCCAUUGCCAAAACACCAAGGGUUUUGGGGGCCAGUUUGGAGCGAAGGAUCAUACCAAGAGCCUCCGUUGUGGAAUAUCUUCUGAAGAGAGGUUUGCAUAAAAAGGAAGCAAGUUUAACUUCUCCGUUUAUAGUCAUUGAUAAGACAUUCUAUGACAUGUAUAUAAAUCGUUUUAAGGAGGAGUCUUCUUACCUAUUAAAGCUUUACGAAGAAAAUUUGAAUCUUGCACAAACCAAGGAAAAAACUGGCAUGAUAUGAUUGAAUUCUCAGGUACUUUAGCCUCCGUCCAUCUGUCAUCAUGAUCCUUAUUCGACAUGAAUACUUAUUCAGAACUUGAUUGGAGCUAGUUUGAUAUAGUUUAGUUUACUUGUUUCAUUUCCUACUUGCACGAAUGUUGGUUUUGUUUUGAUUGAUAAUUCUUUGUCAAAAUCCUGACGUAAUAGUUGAAUUUGUCUUGCACUUAUGGGCAUGGAUACUUUUUUCUGGUAAUGUCAUUUCUGUCUCGAUGUUUGUCUAGUCUAAUAAUCAAUUGCAUAAAAUCCUGAUUCAAAAUGGUUUCAAGGAGCAGUAACUGAAAGGGAAAAUAAUUGUGGACAAAUGCACCUGUGACUCGUAACUAUGAUAGUUGUGUAAUGUCAACUGUCAAGACACAAGAGCCACUAAAGCUCACUAUUAAGUCAAAGGUUGUAGACUGCAAUGAUUUAAAACACUUUGCAAUUAGAAUUAUGGCAUAGUCUUUGGUUACGUAGCGUUUGAUUUUGUCACGAUAUGGUUACUGCUUCUUAUAUUUACCCCUGGGUCAACUGAUAUGGAUAUGGAGUCAAGUUUAAAUUAUUGUAGGUCAUAGGUAUUUAAUUUAAUGGUAAUAACACUUUUCCAUGUUUUGUACUAUUUGAUAUGACUAUAUUAUGUACUGAACAGUGGAAUUGCUUGAACAGCUUGUUCACGAAUAACCUGGAAGAAUUUUUCCUGGAUAUAAUUAAUUGUUAUUUAAUUCUUUGAUCUCUUACUAUGUGGCCUUUAGAUGCAAGCAAUAUAAAGAAAAAUGGGUCCUGUGCAACAGAAUAAUUUUUAAGGUUUGAGAAACACUUUUAAUUGAUUUAUGAGCAAAUAAGAUUUGAAAUUAUUGGGCAAGUCCAUACAGAGCUUAGAACGGGGCCCCUGCAAGUGGGCGGUGGGAUUGGUCCCCUCGGAUUAGUCGGUCCUUGGAUCGGAUACCGAGUUUUCAAAACAAAAAAAAUUGAAAUUAUUUUAAAAACCUCGACCAAGUUAUUUGAUUUGUUGUUCGUAUCUUUUGUAUGUUUCGUACUAUUCCAAAUGGCACUAAAACAUAUGAACUCAUUAUUGCAGGUUGACACAAUUUCCUCAGGAAGGCUUGUGAUUUAGAAGUAAUUCUAUUGAUUUCUAAAUACUUUUCCUUUGGUUUUAUUAACAUCGAUGUUUCAAGGGAAGAUUUUAUGUAGUUUCUGUUACUGAUGUACAAUGAGAUUCAACAUUUUUGUUGUCUUGAACCAAUAAGGUUCAUUGUUUUGUUUCAUUUUUCCAUUUAGAAGAAUAUCUUAUCCACCUCUUAGAUGUACUUUUUCUCUUUUCUGUUUAGGAGAAUAUCUUAGCCACCUCUUAGAAAUUUUCGCAGCUACUGGGUUAGAUCACAUUUUUUACUCUGUAUGUGAAGAGGAGUGGUGUAUUCUUUUUACAGACCAAAGCUGCUGUGUGCUUGACAUUCUGCCAAAAGAGUAUCGGCAUCAUCUACUUUCAUUUUGAAGUUGAAUGAAAAGUUCAAAAUGGCUUAGAAGUGAACAACUAUGAAUUUUUAUUAUGACCGGCUUGUGCCGCCUGGUAGAGUUCACGGAUUUUCGUAUCUGAUUGAAUGUAAAUUGAAUUGUUGUGUCUGACUGAAAACUGCCAAAAGUUUAAAAGAAUCAUCAGAUGUUUCAAAGAUUUGAAUCGUAGGUUUCUUUGUCUUUAGCACUGCAGCAACACUUUAGAUGUUUCUAAUUUUCACCAAGUUCACAAAAAGAACAAGGUUGGAGAGAGAGCUACGAAGUAUGCUGUGUCCUAUCAGGGGAAGUGAUCCAUACCAAUUGAAGUCCAGACCAGGAUAGUGUAAAACAGAAGUUGUAUUCAAUUACAGGUGGCAUUUAGUAUGGGAAAGGGAUCUUUUUUCCCAUUAUGGGAAAGUUACUUUUUAACCAUUAGAUUGAUUAUGGAACACACUUUUAUCAUAGUCUCUCUACACUAUAUCUUUUUACACACCAUCAUCAAUUAUCAUUCUCUCUCCUCCAUCCCACUCACCUCCAUGAGCAACAACAUAGGAUUGACAUUCCCGAAUUCUCCUUCUUCCCUUGUUUGUACUUUUUCAUUGUUAAUUUAAUUUCUUUAAAAUAGAAUAAAAAACAAGAAAGUCUCACACACCACAAAUAAAAUAGUUGUUGACAGUCUAACAUCGCCUGCAAUGAUUUUUUUCUCAGGUAUGGAAAUCUAGAAAACCUUUGUUCUUCAUCUUUGUUUCUAUGAUUUUUUAUACCCUUUGAUAUUCACGUUUUUUCAAUCUGGAAAGGGGAUCCAUGAUAUAUGGAUUAAACAAAAACACUUAGAAUUGAAAUAAGAGUAGCAUAAUAAUUAUGAGUUUUGACAUUAUUAUAUUUUUAUAGAUUUUCCUUUUUCCCUUUACAAACCUUUUCUCCGAUUGUGAUAUGGAUUUUUGUAUUUUUCUUCAUCUUUUAAUUUUUUUUUCUUUGAAGAUUUCAAGAUCUUGAAACCAACUUUCUUGCACAUAACUCAAAAACUUCUAUUUAUCAAGGGAAAAGUUGUGAUAUGCAGUAAUUUCAAAAUUAUUGCAUUUUUUUUAGUUUGGGUUGAAAGCUUGGCUAUGACAUUGAUGGGUGAGAAAGUCCAUUGAGGUGGUGGAGGCUAGGAUGGAAAGAAAAAAAAUUCCAGAUUGAACAAGGAAAAUAAAGUGGAAAAGACAAAGGAAAAUAUAUGGUGCAGGCAGUCCAUGAUAAAAUAUUUAAUCUAAUGGCUGAAAAAAACUUUCCCAUGGUAGAAAACAACUUUCAUUUCCCAUGUUAAACCCCAACUCAAUUACAAGUUACUUGUUAAUCACAAGUUACAUCGAAAUAUUUAGAAAUUUGUUUGUUUUUUAGAUUUUGAUUUAUUUUUAAAUUCAAAUAAAAUGAAUGAGAUUCUUUGUCGAGUCUCUGAUUUAUCUAAAAUUAAAAUAUGUGAACUUUCUCAAUCUUAAAAUUAAAAACCCUAUAUGCGAGCACUCAUACAUAUUUUUUUGACGUGGAGAACACUCGUACAUAUUGAUGCUUCAAAAUUUUUAAUUAUAUUUUUAUUUUUUGUGAGGUGAUUUUAUAUUUUGAUACGAUGUUCAAACAUUACAUUGGGUAAAGAAUUCAUAUUUAAAAUAAAGGCUUAAUAGCAGUUUUAGCCCUCUAACUUUCCAAAAGUUGUGAUUUUGGCCCCUUAAGAAAAAAAUUACAAAACCGCCCCCUAAGUUUUGCACCUGUGGCAGUUUUGACCUCCAAGACCAAUUUUGACUCGGUCUACGCUGAUGUGGCACCCUACGUGAGGUGCCACGUGUUAUUUUUUAUUUUAUUUUUUGGCCUUGGGGGCCAAAACUGCCACAGUUGCAAAACUUAGGGGGUGAUUUUGUAGUUUUUUUCUUAGGGGCCAAAAUCGCAACUUCGUGAAAGUUAGGGGGCGAAAACUGCUAUUAAGCCUAAAAUAAAGCGUGAUGCUAGCAAGACUCUCUUUUGAAAAUUUUCUCUAAUACUCAUUCUUUUAUUGGUUUAAAUUAUUGUGGAUCUACACUUUAAAAAUUGUAGAACAUACAUUAUUUUCAUCUAAUAAAAGAGUGGAUCCUAGAGAGUGUUCAAAGUGUAGACUCACAAUAAUUUAAAUCAAUAAAAAAGUGUGUAACGCCCAAUAUUUUAUACAUAUCCUUCUAAAUAAUUUUCUUAAUUUGUCAUUAAGUUGUUUGAUAAAUUAGUUUAGUUGUUACAGAAAAAAAAAAAAAGAUAAAUAUUGUCAUUUCCUACUCUGGUUAAUUAAUUAGAAUUUUAUUCCAUCUAUUUUAUUUUAAUUACUCAAUUAGGUGUGUAACAAAAAUAGGAUAAUUAUUUCUUAAAUUAUUUAUAUUUAUUCUAAUAAAAUUCUUUCCUGCUGCAUCUUUAUUUGUAACUUAUUUUAAAGGUAAUUUUUGGUAUUAUAUUAAUUAUUGUAUAAAUUGGUUUUCAGUUUUGAGAUAUAUACUACACGUUUUUUAUCCUUGCCUAAUUGAUGCCACUACCACCAUAUUUUCUUCUCCCCUUAUGCAACUAUGGUUCCGUGAAUUGCUAGGUCAAUGAAAUUGGUUAUUUGGUUCCUAAAAACUAUUUCUUUCGGUUAGCUAAACCAUGCUUUUCCAAACCUUAACAUCUCAUUAUUACUAUUAAUCCUCUGAUAUUCAAAGUUAGUUCUUUUAAGAUAUGAAUCAUAUGAUCAUAUGAUCAUCGCUUCUCUGUUUGGAUUCAACCCCUAUGGUUUCACGAGUAUAUUUGUGAAGACUUCGAAUCAUUCUCUCACAACCUUGCCUUACUUUCUUCAACGAAAAAUCAAGUAUAGAAUUAACGGAGCAAAGAUCGGUGUGCUUUGAAUUAGAGUUGUUCUACUAGGAGAGAAAACAUCAAAGGUAAGGGCACUUCUCCAUACUUAUCAUAUUAAACUAAUGGUUAGAUAUUGUAGAGUAGAAAGUAUGAUUCAUAACCGUUUAAAGAGGAAAGAAAUUGAAAUAUAAUUUUAUUUAGUAUAGUUUCAAUCUUUGUAAGAGAUACAAUUCAAUUAUAUUAUAUAUGAUGUUGGUGUAUGAUACCUUGGUGCCCCAAAAUAAAACUUUAAUUUCUUUUGUUGAGUUUGACUAUUAAAUCACAUGCUUGUCUACUAAUAUAGAUGAUGUAUAAGUUCUAAUUUUGAUGUAGUUGCAUUCUAGUGCAUAAGUUUUAUGACUUCAGGAUUAUGGCUUUCAUUUCUUAUCACCUACAUGCAUGCAUGGACGAUGUACUAGCUGUAGGAUCCAUAUAUGAGCAUAAGUACUAAUUUCAUUGCCUAUAUAGUUAUUGUGUAAGUUCAGUUAGAUCGCUCUCAUGGAAUAUACCAUUUUAUUAGCUAGGAUAUGUGGCGGUUAAAUAAUUAUGUGUGCUUUAGUGGCGGAUUAAAUAAAUUAUUUGCUUGUGUGGCGGUUAAAUUAUGUGUGCCUCAGUGGCGGUUAAAUAAAUUAUGUUUGCCUGUGUGGCGGAUAAAUAAGGUGUGCCUUAGUGGCGGAUUAAAUAAAUUAUGUUUGCUUGUGUGGCGGUUAAAUUAUGUGUCCCUUAGUGGCGGUUAAAUAUUUUGCAUCACGUUAGUAGCAUGCAUAACAUUGCGUAAGAACUAAAAUAUGAAUAAUGAAAGAAUGGUGAUUUUUGAGUAUUUCGUUCUUGUUAAUCGCUUAUGUCUUGUAUGGUUUAUUUUAUAAUAUUGUACUGUAUGUUUGGUCUAAUUUGUAUGGAUUGUCGUUUAUGGAAGCUGACCCUUACAACAACAUUUUAUGUACCAAAAAGAGAUGAUGUAUGUUUUGGUGUUUUGCUUGGAGCGCGUUCAGGGACAAAAUUGGAUUUUGAUUGAAAUGUAAUUAUAAAAAAAUAGUUUGAAGGAUAUUAAUUGUAAGAAUUUUUUGUAUAGGUUGUUGUUAAGAAUUUAUUAUGGAUGAUUGAAAAAAAUAGUAGUGUUUUUCUAAAUUUGGGGGUAGUGCUUUGGAUCAAAAUUUGGGGGGUUACAAAGUGGAUCCUAAAGAAUGUUCAAAAGUGAAUGUUGCCAACAUUCAUCACAAAAAGUAGGUGGCAUUUGGUAUACACAAAGGUUAAAAUUGUGCAUGAUACACAAGUUGUGCAAAUAUAAAGCAAAAUUGAUUUUGGACCGUUGAUUUAUUAUUAUUUUAUUCGAAUGGCUGAGAUUUGUGAUGUUAAAGGCAUGGGUGACCGGCUGAGAUGCUGUAGCUGCUGCAGUACACGCGGGUUCCACCUGUUGAAUAAAUCGGAAUAUUUUAAUGUUUUUUUUUUUUUUGCAAAUGUUGUAUUGGACUUAUAUAACAAAAUGAGGCCCAUAAGAAAAUGUUGUAUUGAAAAUGGUAGAAGAAAAUUAUUAAAUUUUCCUUAAAUCAUAAUAUAAAUUAAAUAUACAAUUAAUCAUUAUUAAAAUACAUUUUUUUUUACAAUUGGAAUUUUUUUUUUGAGGAUUUUUACAAUUGACAUGUAAUAGAAUAUGGAGGGAGUCUAUUAUAUGGAUAACUAAUAAUCAAUUAUAUCCCUUUUCCUAUAAAAAAAAAAAAAUCAACGGUAUCCCUUAAAAAAUAAUUAAUUAUAGCAGCAUUAUAUAAUUUUAUUUUCUAAACAAGAUAAUUUCCGUCUUUUUAUUGUCAUAUUCUCUCCUUGACAGCUUCCUCGUACCAAUAAUGUGUAUUUUUUUUAUGGUUGGAUUAGGAGCAAUUUUUAAAGCACAAAGUUUAUCCUUCAAGGUGUCUAGGUUUAAUCAUGCCUUCCAACGAAAGGAUAGUUGGUAGAAUUUUAAUGGCACACACUAUAAUCAGUAAUUUACUUCAUAAGAUUGGUUGAAUAUUUUUUAUAGUUGCAUAUAUUAUAUAUUGUAUCUACAUUUUUUUUAAGGAAAUAUAUUGUUUCUACCUAUUGAGCUAAGUUUGUAGGGAUAAAAAUUGAUCGAAUAUAAUCCUAAAGAGAUAUAACAAUUUUGCUUUAAUCAUAAUAUAAAUUAAAUAUACAAUAAAUCAUAUUUAUAAAUUAAAUAUACACUAAAUCGAAAAUGAAUAAAAAUUUAGUAGAAGUUGUUGAAGUAAAUUGAACGGUUGUAAUUGAAAUCAAUUAUUUUUUUUCAAAAAUUUAUAAUAUGAAUAAAUUGGUGUAAUAGUUGAGUAAUAAAUAGACAGUUUAGUCACUAUUACAAAAAAAUAUAACCUUUUAAGUUUCUUUAAUAAAUAGUGUGUGUGAUGUAUAUUAAAGACCACAUAGAUUAAUUAUUGAAUAAAUCUAAAGUGUCAAGUUUUGCUUAUUUUGGGGACAAAAGUGUAUACAUUAUUGUUGAAUGGGUCAAGGUAAAUGAACAUUAAAAUACGCAAAACAUUUAUUCAUUAGCAAGUUUGAGUUUUUGUAUUUUUAAGAAAAAAAAUGUAUUUUUCUUCUCGGGUUUAUUUAAUUAAUGUAGUAUUAUGUUAUUUGUAAGAGUUUUGAGUUUGAUAAGUCGUUCCGAAGUCUUUGUAGUAGUUUAGGUCAAAGAAACUUGCAUUAGGGUGAGAGUUGUAAGCUUAAUUAGUCAGUAAAGAGUUUGAUUAGUCAUUGAAUGGUCAUCCAAGUACUUUCACUCUAAGAUUCUUUCACGUAGGGUAAGAGUUUUGAGUUUGAUCAGUCAUCUUGACAUCUUGGAAGUAGUUUAGGUCAAAGAUUAUUGUCAUUAGGGUGAGAGUUGUAAGCUUGAUUAGUCGGUGAAAAAUUGGAUUAGUCAUUGAACAUUCAUCUAAGUACUUUGAUUAGUCGUUGAACAUUCAUCCUAGUAUUUUGACUCAAGGAUUCUUUUAGUUAGGGUAAGAGUUGUGAGUUUGAUUAGUCGUUCUAACAUGUUAGAAGUAGUUUAGUUUGAAAGAAAUUUGUUAGUUGAUAUGAUAUAUAUAUGACUUAAUUAAUGGACCCAAAAAAAUGUAAUUUUUGUUACAGUUAAAAAAAAUAAAAAUACUACCUCCGUCCCUAAUUAUAGGGUCAUUUAAAAAAAUAACGGGAAUUAAGAAAAUUGAAAGUGGUAACAAAUUUGUUUGUAAUUACUAUUGUUUUCAUAAUUUUAUCUUUUAAGAGGGAGUUAGUGUAUAUUUUCAAUAUAAUAUUUAAUUUUGAUUGAAGAAAAGGUUAUAAAAUAAAUAGGGGUAUGUUGGUAAAGAAUUAAUUAAUGUAUUUGAAAAUACGAUACCAUGGUUCUAUAUGUUGGUAAGCAAUGGUAUCUUGGCAAUUUUAUCUUCUGCAUUUGUGCAUACUAAAUGCACCCAAAAAGUAAUGCUUAUUCAAACCAGACAAUUUGGUUGAAAUGGUUUCAAAGAACGAAUUUAUUUGAGAAAAUUUGCUUAGUUAAUGUGUAAAACUAUUUUAUGAGUUCUAUUUACCUUUUAGUUAAACUCUAGAUUAGCAAGGACUUUUCUAUAGAUGGUAAUCCAAAAAAAAACUUAUGGAUACCUAACAUUCAUUUGGGUCCCUUACAAAAAAAAAAAAUUAUUGGGUCCCACAACAAUUAACGAAUUAAUGCAUUUCGUGUGGUAAAGUAAAGACACAAAAACAUCACUCCGCAGUUCCGUCGCACCGCCGCCGUGAAGCCACCUACCAUGAAGUCGCUAUUUUCUGAUUCAAGGUAACAAAAAUUCCUUGAUUAUAUUCAUUCAUCUUCAAUAUCCCUUUUAAUCUUUCAUGUUUCAAUCCAUUUAUUUUCACUUCAUUGAUUAAUCAUGUUCAAGUUCAACAAUACAUGGCGCCACAGAACCCUAACCUAUCUCAAGGGAUUAACUUACCAUCAAAAAUCACAAUCCCUAAACCCUAAACCUAAACCUCUUUUCCAACAUUACCCAUUUCCAUUUUCUCUCCAUUUAUGCACCAACGCUUCUGAUUCAACCUCUUUUGCUGUCUCAUACCUCAUUCACAAGUUUGGGUUUGACCCACAAUCUGCUUCCAAACUCUGCUCCACUUACAAGCUCUGUUUUAAGAAUGCCCAAAAACCUGACUCUGUUCUCAACUUCUUUAGGAACCAUGGUUUCUCUGAUUCCCAACUGCACGAUACCAUUGCCAAGAUGCCAGGGCUGCUUUCCUGUAACCCCUCCAAAAGGGUGUUGCCCAAGUUUCAAUUUUUUCUCUCCAAAGGCGCUUCUACCUCUGACAUUGUUAACCUUGUUUGUAAGAACCCUAGAGUCUUGUCUGUAAGCCUCAAGAAUCAAAUAGUCCCAACCUAUGAAUUGGUGUACAGAUUCUUGCAAUCUGACAAGGAAAUUUUGGCAUUAUUGAAUUAUAAUUCAAAUUUAUUUUGUGAUCCUUCUGUGCAAAAUAACAUCACAAUGCUAAUUGAGAAUGGAGUGUCCGACUCAAACAUUAAAAGAUUGCUUAGGGAACAUAGUCGGGCAUUCAAGACACGUGAUAUGUUGAAGUUGGUUAAGGAAUUAAAGGAUUUGGGGUUUAAUCAUUCUAAAACAACUUUUGGAGUAGCAUUGAUAGCGAAAUCAUCAACAACCAAAACCUUGUGGAAAGAGAAAGUUGAUGCCUUGAAGAAAUGGGGUUGGUCGGAUGAAGAUGUUCUUCAAGCAUUUAGAAAGCAGCCUCACUGUAUGAUAACAUCCAUCGAUAAAAUUAAUUUAGUGAUGAGCUUUUGGGUCAAUCAGUUGGGUUGGGAUGCUAUGGCCAUUGCCAAAACACCAGAUAUUUUGUCAUUAAGUUUGGAAAAAAGGAUCAUUCCAAGGGCCACUGUUGUGCAAUUUCUUCUCAAUAAUGGUUUGCGAAAUAAGAAUGCAAGCUUAAUUUAUCCAUUCUUAAGGACUGAAAAGUUGUUUCUUGAUAUGUUUAUAAAACGUUUUAAGAAUGAGUCUUCUUAUCUUAUAAAGUUGUAUGAGGAAAAACUCAAGCUUGCCCACACCAAGGAAAAGACAUGAGUAUCAUGACUAGGUUUUUAGGUCUUUUAGACUUGAUAUGUUAUUAUUGUUCCAUAUUCUAUUUGAAAUUUGUUUGGUACAGAUAGAUUAUGUUUGGAUCUAAUUUAGCUUUGUUUCGUUUGACAAAUGUUGGUUUCUUAUUGAUCAUAAUUUCUUCAAAAUCUUAUUGUUUAUCAGUCUUAAUAACAUCAAGUAAUUUUCCAGUUCCAGUACUACAUGUAAAAAAAUUGAUUUUCUAGCAUUUUUGGGCAUGGAAUACUUCUUUUUGGAGUGUCAUUUCUCCUUUCAUGUUUGUUUAGUCUAACAAUAUAUGCAUAAGUUCAGCUAUAUCAGAAUAUGUUGUUGGGUUUAAAAUGGUUACUAGUUGUAGUUUAAUCAUGGACAAAUGCAGUAAUAAUGGUAGUUGUGCACUUAUGAAGACCUCUAAUACAUUAAUAUUGUAGUUGCACUUCUGGUUUCUGAUUUAUGGACCACAAUAAUAUAAAAUACUCGGCAGUUAGCAUUAUGCCACAAUCAGAGGGAAGGUCGUACAUAACACUUAAUUUUUUUUAUAUUAUCAUCUUGCUUGUUAAUUUUACCUGUUAGCCAAUUGAUAUGAAUUUAGUUGAGUCAUGAUUAAAUAUCAGAGUUUGUUUUCUUUAUAAACUGUCGUUGGUAUUUUGUCCAUGUUCAGUAUUUUAGGUGAGUACCUUGUGUUAAACAGCCGCUUGCACGACUUUUUGUCGGGUAUAUUUCUUUUGACUUCUUUUGGAUAUUAUAACCUUGUAUUGUAAUUUCGUGUUGCAUGUAAUGGGAAUUCAACCUCUGGACUUAUGGCAUUUAUGUUCUUACAUUUGGUUCUCUGUGAAAAGAAUCUCACCUAUAAUGGAAGGAGUUUUUUACUUUUUUUUUUGGUGACAAGGAGUUUUUUACUUUAAGCAAUAUGGUGGAAAUAUUGGUCCUUCUAUGCAAGAAAAUUGUUUUUGAGAUGUUGCAAUUAAGAUGUGUGGAGUGCUUUUAACAAAAAAGGAUACAGGACAAUAAAGAAACGAAGAAUUGACUGAAUUAGUGAGUUAUUUAAUUUGUUGAACUUUUCUUUCUUAUGUCUUACUACAACUAUCAGUAUAAACUCAUUGCAGGUUCACACAAUUUCAUGAGAAACACUCAUGCUUUAGAUAAGUAAGUAAUUCUUCUGAAUAAUUUUCGUUUGAUUCUCUACGCAUUGUUGUUUAUAGGGAAGAUUUUGUGUAGUUUGCUAAUAUAAAAUUUGGCUGUCUUCUUGAGCCACUUAGGCUCAUUGUUUAUUUUCGUUUGAUACGCUUAUAAAGAUGUGAUAUGCUCUUAUAAAUUUUUUUAUAUAUGGUUAUAAAGGUGGAGGGUGGUGUGUGUGUGACGUGUGUGUUAGAUGUUGAGUUGCAGUAUGGAUUUCAAGCAGGAAGAAAGAUAAUCUUUGAUCGACUUGAAGAAACUCUUAGAAGCAAUGGAGUUAAAAUAAUUAGAGGAGGACAAAUGGGAAUGGAGGGAAAUAACGUCAAAUAUUUAUACAGUUAAAGAAGCUUAUAAAGUACUAAUGUCUGAAAUAGCAAGCUUAUCUAUUCCAAUUUGUUUGAGGGCACGACGUAAAUCAAUCCUUUCAAAAUUCUAUAUGUGUGGAGUUUGAUCCAUAAAAGAAUUACUAUAAAAGACAACUUAUUCAGGAAAGGAGUGAUUGGGAAGGUCGGUUGCAGUGUGGUGGUCAAGAGUAGGCGAUGCAUUUUCUGAGAGUUCAGUUUUCGUAGGUAUUAGGUGUGCAAUUUGCAACUGGAUUGGCAGAGUUCGGUUUUCACAGGUAUUAGGUGUGCAAUUUGCAACUGGAUUGGAAUUUCUACUGCUUUACAUAAGGAAUGCUUAUCUCAGUUAGAUCAGUUUACUUUACCGGGUUGCUUGACAAUGGUAGAUCUUUUCCGAUGCAAGUUUUUGUGAUUUGGUUCACAUGUGUUUGAAGCAUUUGAAAGGCAAAAAAUGGCAAAAAUUUUAACAACAAAUUGAGAAGUGGGUAUAGAUAAUAUGGCCGAGGAGGUGAAGGUGUUAUCAUGGUAUUAGUUGAAUUUUAAACUGAAUAGCACGACUUAUAAUAUAUCUCAAUGAUGUCCAAAUCCAAGGAAUUGUCUUGGUUUAUAGUGAGGUUUCACUGCUGCUAUUGGUUUGCAUGGAAAAUGUUACUGGUCUUCUUUUAUUGUGCAGUUUCACAUGUCAUUUGGGGAACAAAUAAGAAAAUUCAGCAAGGUAGGUGGAUGAUGUGGCAUGCGGCAAUUUGGAUUAUGUGGAAAGCGAGAAAUGAUGGGAUUUUUAACAAUAUAACAAAAGGAGUGGAAGAGACUGGUAGAUUUUUUCAAUUGUUGUAUCUGCUGUGAGCUGCUGUUUGUCUUUGUGAGGCUGUGCGGCUGAUGUGUUUGCUGUUCAGCUUUUGCACCUAGCCUGCUCGGGCUUCUGGUUGCUGUCUGGUUUUUGGGAGGUGUAGAUAGUAGCAGUCUGUUUGCUGUUGUUUUUACAGUUCUGUGGUGUGGUUGUUAGUUCAGGGGACCAGGCUUUUGUGAGCUUUCUGUCAUGUGCUUUGCUAGAGGUCUGGUUGAGGUUUUUAGGGGUGUGUUUUUUCCGCCUAUAUACGGAAACCCCCGAUUUGGUUCUUUUGUAUUUCGAUUUUCCUUAUUUCGUGCGGGUUAAGCUUUAAUAAUAUUUGUUAAUUUAAAAAAAUAUGUAAUUUGGGGAAGAUUUGGCAAUCAAUCCUGAUGUUGGUGCGAAGAUUUGGUGUUUAUUUGUAUUUUGCAGUUUUGUAAAGGGAGCGGAUCCUCUCAGUGGAAUUUUUACUCGAGUGUCCAGUGCACAUCCUUAUCUUUAAGUUCUCCCAAAUCCACAUGCGGUAUUAAAUAUGGAUGGUUGAGAUUCCACUGCACACACAUUACACGGGAGAGGAUCCCUACCCGUAUUUUGAAGAGGCAAGCUGGUGAACUUUAUCUGCAGUUUUGAUUUUGAGACUAAGCUAAGUAGUCUCUCAAUUAAGUUGGACGGUGAUUUUGUAGACAAUUAAGUCCUUAUAACAAAACUGAAUAUAUUAACACCAAGGACUUAUCAAUUAUGAGAAGACAAUAUAUUCAUAUAGAAUGACAAUAACUUAUAACAUCCAACUAUCCAAGGACUUUAACGAUAGUCAUCUGUAGGCACACUUAGAAUAAAUUACUGUACCAAAUUACUUAGGAAUGAUUGUGACACAUUAUGUCACAUUUAGUGGAUUAAAAUGAGUGUUUACUCGAGAACUGUCACAAUGGUUAGUAAGCUCGUGAUGUUGAGCACCUUAAGAAUUAGUACGAGUGUAGAUGCAAAUAAUAUGUAUACAAUAAAAGAAGCAUUAACUUUUUUUUUGUGUGAAUACUCCGUAAAGAUUUGUUAUUUGAACAAUCAUUUAUAUGAUAAUUUAUGAGACAACUAUAAAUUUAUAAAAAAAAAAAAAUGUAAGCAUAUCAGCACAUAAAUCAAAAUUAUAGAGAGAGAAAGAAAAAAAAAGUAAAACAUAAUGUGAGUAUAUGAGAGAAAAUUGUCACAAAAAUUGUUAUAAAAUGGUUGUACAAAUAUCAAUUCUCUACUCCAUAUGCUCUAAAUUAUAAAUCACUUUGAGAAAUAGAUUUGUCAUAAGUUGUACAUUUGUUAUAAAAUGUUUGUAUAAAUAUCAUUUAUAUGUAUAAGUAGGAUAUGGCAACCACCCCCCAGGAAAAAUCAUACACCGUCUUCAGAUCUCAAAAGGACUCGAAGUAUGUCACAUCAACAUAUGUGACGCUCUUGUCUGGGAAAAUGAUGGUGCCCACCACAAUCAAUUCAACUAUCUCUCGACCUCACCACAAUCUUCAUCGCUAUCUUAUGUUGCCUCGAAAUUCUUCUUGAGCACACACAACAGUAAGAUGAAGCAUGCACGAGUCCCGUACGUCGUCACCACUUAUCGAUCAAUGUUAUCCGAGUCAACACCAAUUAGAUCCACCAUUAGUUCAUUCGCAUCAUGCGUUUGCUGUUCAGCUUUUGCACCUAGCCUGCUCGGGCUUCUGGUUGCUGUCUGGUUUUUGGGAGGUGUAGAUAGUAGCAGUCUGUUUGCUGUUGUUUUUGCAGUUCUGUGGUGUGGUUGUUAGUUAAGGGGACCAGGCUUUUGUGAGCUUUCUGUCAUGUGCUCUGCUAGAGGUCUGGUUGAGGUUUUUAAGGGUGUGUUUUUUCCGCCUAUAUACGGAAACCCCUGAUUUGGUUCUUUUGUAUUUUGAUUUUCCUUAUUUCGUGCGGGUUAAGCUAUGAUAAUAUUUGCUGAUUUAAAAAAAAAUGUAAUUUGUGGAAGACUAACGUAUUUCAUGCGGGUUAAGCUCUAAUAAUAUUUGUUGGUUUAAAAAAAAAUGUAAUUUGGGGAAGAUUUGGCAAUCAAUGCUGAUGUUGGUGCGAAGAUUUGAUGUUUAUUUGUAUUUUGCAGCUUUGUAAAGGGAGCGGAUCCUCUCAGUGGAAUUUUUACUCGAGUGUCCAGUGCACAUCCUUAUCUUUAAGUUCUCCCAAAUCCACAUGCGGUAUUAAAUAUGGAUGGUUGAGAUUCCACUGCACACACAUUACACGGGAGAGGAUCCCUACCCAUAUUUUGAAGAGGCAAGCUGGUGAACUUUAUUUGCAGUUUUGAUUUUGAGACUAAGCUAAGUAGUCUCUCAAUUAAGUUGGAUGGUGAUUUUGUAGACAAUUAAGUCCUUAUAACAAAACUGAAUAUAUUAACACCAAGGACUUAUCAAUUAUGAGAAGACAAAACCCACUUGGUUUGGCCUAGUGGUAUAAGCUUGAGAUCUGGGAGUGUGCUCCUCCUCUAGGUCUCAGAUUCGAUUCUCUCUGGUGCCAAUUUGAGGGGGAUAGUUUAGCUUCUUAAAAAAAAAUAAAAUUAUGAGAAGACAAUAUAUUCAUAUAGAAUGUAUAUAAAUGUGUUUUUGUAGAGACCUGAAUGACAAUAACUUAUAACAUCCAACUAUCCAAGGACUUUAACGAUAGUCAUCCGUAGGCACACUUAGAAUAAAUUACUGUACCAAAUUAUUUAGGAACGAUUGUGACACAUUAUGUCACAUUUAGUGGAUUAAAAUGAGUGUUUACUCGAGAACUGUCACAAUGGUUAGUAAGCUCGUGAUGUUGAGCACCUUAAGAAUUAGUUUAUGAGGCUCGAAAGUACGAGUGUGGAUGCAAAUAAUAUGUAUACAAUAAAAGAAGCAUUAACUUUUUUUUUUUGUGUGAAUAUUCCGUAAAGAUUUGUUAUUUGAACAAUCAUUUAUAUGAUAAUUUAUGAGACAACUGUAAAUUUAUAUAAAAAAAAAAAAUGUAAGCAUCGGCACAUAAAUCAAAACUAUAGAGAGAGAGAAAGAAAAAAAAAAGUAAAACAUAAUGUGAUUAUAUGAGAAAAAAUUGUCACAAAAAUUGUUAUAAAAUGGUUGUAUAAAUAUCAUUUAUCUACUCCAUAUGCUCUAAAUUAUAAAUCACUUUGAGAAAUAAAUUUGUCAUAAGUUGUACAUUUGUUAUAAAAUGGUUGUAUAAAUAUCAUUUAUAUGUAUAAGUAGGAUAUGGCAACCACCCCUUCAGAAAAAAUCAUACGCCGUCUUCAGAUCUCAAAAGGACUCGAAGUAUGUCACAUCAACAUAUGUGACGCUCUUGUCUUUGAAAAUAAUGGUGCCCACCACAAUCAAUGCAACUCUCUCUCGACCUCACCACAAUCUUCAUUGCUAUCUUAUGUUGCCUCGAAAUUCUUCUUGAGCACACACAACAGUAAGAUGAAGCAUGCACGAGCCCCGUACGUCAUCACUUACCGAUCAAUGUUAUCCGAGUCAACACCUAUUAGCUCCACCAUUAGUUCGUUCGCAUCAGGCUUGGUCAUAGGCUCACAAUUCAGGAGACAACCCUAGACGUGCAAAUGCAGCAAACAUGACACACUGUCCAAUGUCACUAUCAUCGAAUGCAUUAGAAAAGGUUGUCAAGAUGUCAUGGUUAAUAAUAAUUUUAGAACGAGUUGUCCGAAUAAAUAUAUUAAUCUUUUGUUUUAGUCUUUCUAACUUUUUUUUUUCCUUAAAAGUAUGGAAAUAAGGAUUAUCAUGAUGAAAAACAUUUGGAGAUUAAAAAUAUUUUUUAAGUUUUUGGUUGCAAUUUUUCAUAAACUAUACUUUCACACUCCUCCACAGUAGAGCAGCAGGUGAAGUUGACGAGUGCAGUUGGCUACACUCGAAUAUUUUGGCGUGACGAUUGAAAUCAUCAAACUCGCCAUUUUCACCAUCCACCACCGAGAAAGGGUGAGGUAACAUCCUUUUCAUAUUCUCCAUUUUCUGUUUCAUCAUUCAUAAAUGUUGAUUAUUCAUCGCCAUAGAUCCAUUUUCAAUCUCAAACCCUUAACUUUCUCACCAAACCCAAUAACCCCAUUACCAUUUUCUCUUCAUUUCUGCACCAACACUUCAGAUUCAACCUCAUUUUCUGUCUCAUACCUCAUCAACAAUUUUGGCUUUGACCCACAAUUUGCUUCCAAACUCUGCUCCACCUACAAGCUCCGUUUCAAGACUGACCAAAACCCUGAUUCUGUUCUCAAAUUCUUUAGAAACUAUGGUUUCUCUAACUCCCAACUACGUCGUAUCAUUCCCAAGGCACCAUGGCUACUCUCCUGCGACCCCUCCAAAAGGGUGUUGCCGAAGUUUCAAUUUUUUCUCUCCAAAGGUGCUUCUACCUCUGACAUUGUUAACUUUAUGAGUAAGAACCCCAGGAUCUUGUCUGUAAGCUUGAAGAAUCGUAUCGUCCCAAUAUAUGAAUUGGUUUAUAGAUUCUUGCAAUCUCACAAGGACACUAUUGCUUGUGUAAUUAGCAAUCCAGUUUUAUUUAGUGACCAUCUUGUGGCACAUAACAUCGCAUUGUUGCUUGAGAAUGGACUUUCCGACUCAAACAUUUCUAGAUUGCUUAGGGAACACCGUAGGACAUUGCACACAUGUGACAUUUUGAAGGUGGUGGAUGAAUUAAGGGAUUUGGGGUUUAAUCCUUCUAAAACAACUUUUGGAGUAGCAUUAAUAGCCAAAUCAUCAACAACUAAAGCCUUGUGGAAAGAGAAAGUUGAUGCCUUUAAGAAGUGGGGUUGGUCGGAUGAAGAUGUUCUUGAAGCAUUUAAAAAGCAGCCUCACUGUAUGAUAACAUCCAUUGAUAAAAUUAAUUUAGUGAUGAGCUUUUGGGUCAAUCAGUUGGGUUGGGAUGCUAAGGACAUUGCCAAAACACCGGAUAUUUUGUCGUUAAGUUUGGAAAAAAGGAUCAUUCCAAGAGCCACUGUCGUGCAAUUUCUCCUUAGUAAUGGUUUGCGAAAUAAGAAUGCAAGCUUAAUUUAUCCAUUCUUAAUGCCUGAGAAGUUGUUUCUUGAUAUGUUUAUAAAACGUUUUGAGAAUGCGGCUUCUUAUCUUUUAAAGCUGUACGAAGAAAAACUCAAUCUUGCACACACCAAGAACAAAAAUUGCGUGUAAUGAUCAGAUUUUUCAGGUAUUUUAGCCUUAAUAAUGUUAUUCUUAUUCUUUAUUUGAUUUGAAUACAUGUUUAAUACAGAAUGUGAUUCGAGCUAAUUUAGUUAAUUUGUUUCCUCUGCUUAUAUUUGGAUAAACGUUGGGUUUGUUGUCACCGUUAUUUUUCUAAGGAAAUUAUGAACACAUUCAGAACAUGUAUAUACUUGUUUAUGACUAUGUAGAAAAUAGGUCCACUGAAUAAGUAGUUAUAUGGGAUUUGUGACUGCUUUUCCAUUAGCUACAACACUUUCAGUGUAUUUGAAACUGCAUUGUCUUAGCUUUCAAACACACGCCCAAAGUAAAGCUACAACUAAGCUUCCAUGAAAACUCUUUCCUAAAUUUUCUGAUAGGAAGAUAGAAUUCACAAAUUUCAUUGGCUCCAAUGCAAGAAUUGUUGAUGAAAAAGUCAAUAAGCAGAUUUCAGAAUUAAGAAUGGCCAUUAAAUUAGAAUCACAGGCAUUUGGUUUUCCCAUGUAAUUAUUAUCUCAAUGGACCUUUUUAAUACAUAGUCAUUAACAAGUAUCAUUUGUGCAAAAACAAACUAGUGAAGCAAGAUGGUAAUUUAGUCCUCAACACAUUCAUUAUUGAUGCAUAUUAGUCCUCCAAAUAUGGACUAAUGAAUGUAUCAAACAAUGAAUAUGUUGAGGACUAAAAUUCCAUUUUUUUUAAAUAUAGACUAAAUGGGAGGUUCCAAUUUUAUAGGGAAGUAAAACAUAUUUAACCUUCAUAAGCAAAUAAUCUUAUUCAAUUUUUAUAUAUGGAUUAACAAUGAAGUAUAUUCUCAAAGUUCUAUUGCCUGAGUUCUUGCUCAGAAGAGCUUGUUGAACUCUGGCGGAUUUUUUCGUCUUUAGGCGAAUAAAUUCUUGAGGGCAAUGGGUCUUCACAUGUCUAAGGAUUCUCUAAUACUUUAUUUUGGGUUCAUGGUUGGUGGUUGAUGAUUUGCUCGUGAUACAAGAGAUAUUCGUGAUUGAUCGUGAUAGUUUGUGAUCUAUAUAGUUGGUGGACAAUAUUUUCCUACAAUCUCAAGGAUUUAUCUUUCAUAUAUAGAAAAUUCCAAAUAAAUAAAAAAUUAACCUUAAAAAUUUUAUAUGCUAACUACAUCCGGUAUAAUUUCACCUGAUUUUUGCUCUUUCUAGUUGUCUUUUCUUGAUGAUUAAAAGCUUAUGAUUUGGUUUACCUCUACUUUAUACAAAUUUAUUUAUGCUGCAGUGAGAAAUUGAAAUCAUAUGAAUGCAUAUGGACCAGUUUCAACUUCCAUAUCUUCUCACAGGUCUCACGCUGUCUUUGCUUUUUCUUAUCUUUCUUAUCCCUUAAAUAUGAUUCAAAAUGGAUCUAGUUCUAUUGUUGAUCAUUGAUUCCCUAUGAAAAAUAUGUAUCGGGGUUCGAAGAAGGGUCAAGAGUCCUCAACCCGCAACCGCUAGAGGAAGAUUUAUUCAAUCACAUAGUUUGGGCUCCUAGAAUAUGAGCCCUUGGGGCUUUCUAUUUGAUUGUAUCGAAAGGUCCAAUGAAUUCAGAUUUCGGGAAAGGUUGUUUCCAGAAGUGUUUAGUAAUUAUAACAUAUCCAUUCUGCUGAUUUAGAUUUCUUACAUUUUAUAGACAUGUAAUUAUCUUCUUUCUGUAUCUUGUCUAGUUUAACCAUCUUGCUAAUUUCAAAAUAUCUUGCUCAUAUUGUUUUCAAGUUUAAAAGUGAAAUCCUUAGUCGAGUUGAUAAACAUUUUUCCGUUUAUACCUGAAGCUAUAAUCCAUUGCUGUUGGACAUGCUGAUUUUUUUUUGAGUUAUUUAUAUGUACCAUGUUUGUAAUUUAUCAUUGCUUUCAGUUGUAUACUGCACUGAACAAAUAUAAUUGGAUAUUCCAAAAUACUGUGCAAUUCGGGGUACCAAAUAUCCAAUGAUAGCAUUUGAUUUUUAGGAAAUUUAGGGUUUCUAUACUCUGAAAAUAUACGCUGUUUUCAUUUCUAAGAGUCUGUAUAGGCUAGACCCAUGACAAAAUUGAGCCAUUAUGGACUCAUAAGUUUGAACCAUUGAUUAAGCAAGAUAUACAGACUUUAUGACAGUUCAUCCACACAUAAUUACUCUCUUACACUUCAAGUCUCUCUACUCACACCACUUUCCAGAUCCUCUCUUGCUUAAUUGUCUACUGCAAUCUCUAAUGCAAUAUUUUUCAUCCAUUGGAGUGGGUGGCUCUCUUUGCUCUAAUGAACAUGAAUAUUAGAGCAAAGAUGUUCAUGUUGGUGAUCAUUGGUGGGGUCAUGUUCCUC
rnacentral:lncRNA from 1 species